rnacentral:lncRNA from 1 species
UGCAUGAUAUGGGCUAUCCGUAAUUUCUUUCCAGAUCAAGUAUAUUUUCUUCCUCCCUAUUAAUUUUCUCUCCCAUGGUUACCGUCUUCAGAAGAUGCCUUCUAAUCCAGACCCCCGUUUUUGCCUCUCAAGGUCUCUAUAAUUUUCGUUUUCUGCUUCUUAAAUUUCUUCUACAAUCUUGUUAAACCCAUUCUGUAAUUAAUUAGCCUGUUGAUUCGUUUCAGUUUAGUCGGUAAACAGUAAUGGAUAAUGAAUUUCGUUUAUCUCAACUGGGAAAAGUAGUUAAUGUUUUAGUUCACCUUUUAAAUGAUUUACUUCUGGAAUUUAUGUUUUUGAUUCCAGGUGGUUUGGAAAAUUCCGGCGAGAAUCAGUUCAGCCAGAAACCGGCGACGACGCCGACGAGCCAAAUCACAUAUCAAGCUCCGUCGAAUGCUAUGCUUGUACUCAGGUGGGUGUUCCGGUAUUUCACUCCACCAGCUGCGACAAGGCCCACCAGCCGGAGUGGGAGGCUUCCGCCGGUUCUUC